rnacentral:rRNA from 1 species
UACGUAGGGGGCAAGCGUUAUCCGGAUUUACUGGGUGUAAAGGGGGCGCAGACGGCAGCGCAAGCCAGGAGUGAAAGCCCGGGGCCCAACCCCGGGACUGCUCUUGGAACUGCGCGGCUGGAGCGCAGGAGGGGCAGGCGGAAUUCCUGGUGUAGCGGUGAAAUGCGUAGAUAUCAGGAGGAACACCGGUGGCGAAGGCGGCCUGCUGGACUGCGACUGACGUUGAGGCCCGAAAGCGUGGGGAGCAAACAGG